rnacentral:rRNA from 1 species
UACGGGGGGGGCAAGCGUUGUUCGGAAUUACUGGGCGUAAAGGGCUCGUAGGUGGCCAACUAAGUCAGACGUGAAAUCCCUCGGCUUAACCGGGGAACUGCGUCUGAUACUGGAUGGCUUGAGAUUGGGAGAGGGAUGCGGAAUUCCAGGUGUAGCGGUGAAAUGCGUAGAUAUUGGGAGGAACACCGGUGGCGAAGGCGGCCCCCUGGACCGGUUCUGACGCUGAGGCGCGAAAGCGUGGGUAGCAAACGGG